rnacentral:rRNA from 1 species
CCUACGGGUGGCAGCAGUGAGGAAUAUUGGUCAAUGGACGAGAGUCUGAACCAGCCAAGUAGCGUGAAGGAUGACUGCCCUAUGGGUUGUAAACUUCUUUUAUAUGGGAAUAAAAUGUUCCACGUGUGGGAUUUUGUAUGUACCAUAUGAAUAAGGAUCGGCUAACUCCGUGCCAGCAGCCGCGGUAAUACGGAGGAUCCAAGCGUUAUCCGGAUUUAUUGGGUUUAAAGGGAGCGUAGGUGGAUUGUUAAGUCAGUUGUGAAAGUUUGCGGCUCAACCGUAAAAUUGCAGUUGAAACUGGCAGUCUUGAGUACAGUAGAGGUGGGCGGAAUUCGUGGUGUAGCGGUGAAAUGCUUAGAUAUCACGAAGAACUCCGAUUGCGAAGGCAGUUCACUGGACUGCAACUGACACUGAGGCUCGAAAGUGUGGGUAUCAAACAGGAUUAGAUACCCUUGUAGUC